rnacentral:rRNA from 1 species
UACGGGGGGGGCAAGCGUUGUUCGGAAUUACUGGGCGUAAAGGGCUCGUAGGUGGCCAACUAAGUCGGACGUGAAAUCCCUCGGCUUAACCGGGGAACUGCGUCCGAUACUGGAUGGCUUGAGUUUGGGAGAGGGAUGCGGAAUUCCAGGUGUAGCGGUGAAAUGCGUAGAUAUCUGGAGGAACACCGGUGGCGAAGGCGGCAGCCUGGACCAACACUGACACUGAGGAGCGAAAGCCAGGGGAGCAAACGGG